AUAAAAUAACAAAAGACAAUGAGAAGAAUGUUAGUAAAUACAUAUUGGUGGUGGCGCCCGUUACAACUCCGACAGUCGUAAGGGAGCAGUGCUCGUAUGUAUAUACCUCAUUAA
rnacentral:ncRNA from 1 species